rnacentral:rRNA from 1 species
ACCUACCUUAUAUUGGGGGAUAGCCCAGAGAAAUUUGGAUUAAUACCCCAUGGUAUGCUAGAGUGGCAUCACUUUAGUAUUAAAGAUUUAUCGAUAUAAGAUGGCUAUGCGUUCUAUUAGCUAGUUGGUAAGGUAACGGCUCACCAAGGCGACGAUAGAUAGGGGUCCUGAGAGGGAGAUCCCCCACACUGGUACUGAGACACGGACCAGACUCCUACGGGAGGCAGCAGUGAGGAAUAUUGGACAAUGGAGGCAACUCUGAUCCAGCCAUGCCGCGUGCAGGAAGACUGCCCUAUGGUUGUAAACUGCUUUUAUAGAGGAAGAAACCGCUCUACGUGUAGAGCUCUGACGGUACUCUACGAAUAAGGAUCGGCUAACUCCGUGCCAGCAGCCGCGGUAAUACGGAGGAUCCAAGCGUUAUCCGGAAUCAUUGGGUUUAAAGGGUCCGUAGCGGGCUUAUAAGUCAGUGGUGAAAGUUUGCGGCUCAACCGUAAAAUUGCCAUUGAUACUGUAGGUCUUGAAUCAUUGUGAAGUGGUUAGAAUGUGUAGUGUAGCGGUGAAAUGCAUAGAUAUUACACAGAAUACCGAUUGCGAAGCAGAUCACUAACAAUUGAUUGACGCUCAGGGACGAAAGCGUGGGUAGCGAACAGGAUUAGAUACCCUGGUAGUCCACGCCGUAACGAUGGUUACUAGCUGUUUGGACUUCGGUCUGAGUGGCUAAGCGAAAGUGAUAAGUAACCCACCUGGGAGUACGUUCGCAAGAAUGAAACUCA